CUGCUAACGCGGGGGUCCUGCGUUACGCAUCGUUGUCCGCUGAAUCCGGCCUGAUUGUUGGGGCGAACUGUUCGGGUGAAUCGCGCAGUAAGUGCCCAGUAAGCGCAUCGCUAACCGGUUCCGCAGACAAUAUCGCGUAGCGUGGGUGAGAAAUACCCUUUGAACCUGAUCUGGAUAAUGCCAGCGCAGGGAAGCGUUCGGGUUUCGCCC
rnacentral:ncRNA from 1 species